UCGCAUCGCUGGGAUUGCUUGACGAAAAAAGCCUGGCGCUCACGCCCGCGGCGACGCAGCCUUCGCCGGUCGCCGCGGACUGAUCGCCUCUCACUUUUUGUACGUCGCCGAUCCGAUAGCGACGUUCGCAUCCGUCGCGCCAGACGUCGUCGUGCUCAACGCGUAUGGCAGCAUCUCCACCGCGAUGCGGUAUGUGCCCGCGGGGAUGGCGGCGCCGAUCUCGAUGCCGGCGGUCAUCGUUGUUGAUGCGCCUGCGGCGAGCUUGAUGUUCUUCGUCGCGAUGCCGACCACGUGAUCUUCUGAGCCGAUCGUCGCAUUGGUCGUUGCGUACACCAGCACGUUCACGCGGCGCUCGGUGGCCUUGUUGGCGAGAUUCGUCACGCGAAUCACCGCGGUGCCCUUGUCGCCGGCAUGAAGCGUCGGCGGGAGCGACGACGAUUCCACCGUGGCCUUGAGAUCAGACGUCGAAGGCUCGCUGACAUACACGCGGAGGAUCGACGUCGUGCCGGUGCUGUUGCCGUCCCAAUCGCUCUUCACCGUGACGCCGCCGUCCUGCGCGAUCAGCACGCCGUCGGUCAUCGUCAGGUUGUUGUUGGCGCGGACGGUGAGCUUGUCCUUCGCGCGGAGGCGGAAGUUGCUCAUCGUGCCGUCACCGGUCGUGAAGAUGUUGAGGUUGUCAGUCGAGUAGAGAUUUCCUUCCACGUUCACCGACGCGGGCUGAACAUCGCCGGCAGCGCCGACGAGAAUCUCAUGUCCACUGAGCGUCGUGUUGCGAUUGCGGAUCGCGACCGUGCUCUCGGUGUUGGUGGUGCGGAGGUGAAUCUCGCCAAGCGGCGAGGCGAUGAACGCCGAGCCGGCGGCCGAGCCAACCUGCAGAUGCAUUCCGCGGAGCGAGAUGAUGCCGUUGGCCGCGCCGAUCGACGCGUUCGUCCGGCUGGCUAUUCGCACCAUGCCCUGGCGAUCGCGAUCGACGUCCGCAGCGAGCGUGACGUCGCCGUCGGUCUUCACGCCGAUGCUGCCGUUGAGCGUGAUGUUUCCGCCCGACAGGACAGUCACAUCGCCGUUCACGCCGCUCGUCGAAAGAUUCCCGCGCAGAUCAGCCGUGCCCGCAGCGCCCGCGGCCCGCAGCGUGACCGCCGAGGCGAACGGCGCGUCGCCAACGACGAUCGCGUGCUGUCCUUCGUCGCCCGAAUCAAAUCCAUCAGUGCCCCGCCCAAUGAUCACCUGGCUGAAGCUCGAUCCCAGCCCCGCGACUUCCUCUGUCGUAAGCUCGAAUCCGUUGCCAGCAAGGCCGACAAGAAUUCCCACCGUCGCCGAUUUCGGCUGAAGCACGAGCCUGCCCGCGCCGUUAAUUGAGUUCGGCGUGUUCGGCAACGAGAUCGUGUUCGCGGUGAUCACGAUGUCGCCGAGCGCGCCCGAAAUCUUCGCGCGAGUCUUCUCGACGAAAUCAGAGGCGUUGAUGGUGAUUGCUCCGCCGGUGGACAUGCCCGCCGCGGUGCCGAGCGCGACUUCGUUCGUCGCGUUGAGCGUGAUUGGGGCGUUGUUGCGGGCCACGAUUCCGCCCAGGAUGUCGAUGGCCGUGCUGUCGAUCGACACACCCUUGUCGCGCGUCGUCGAGAGCGUUCCCAUGAUCGUCGUCGUAGAACUGCCGGCCAUCUGCUGGAUCCAGCCCGCGCCGACAUCACCCGCAAACGUGAGCACGCGAGCGUUUCGCACGAGCAGCGUCGCCAGACGCGCCGCCUGGCCAACGCCCGCGAGGAACCGCAGAUCGCGCGCCGCCCAGAUCGUCAGGUUGAACGCGCCAUCGAGCGUGCUGCCGAACGUCACCGAUGCGCGGCCGUUGCGGCUGGUGUUGAUCUUCACAUCGCCGGUGAGCGUCGUCGGCGAGAGGAAUUUGAUCGCAUCGCCGCUGCUGUAAAGAUCGGCCGCAGUGUUGAUGCCGGUGCCGCUCAGGGUGAUCGCCCCGCCGGCGCUGAUGUCGCCAUCGACGCCAAGCGUAAGCACGCCGCCCGCGGCGAGCGUGACGGCGCCCGUCGCGCCGAUCAGCCCGGUGACGUUGAUGUCGCUGCCCGCCGUCGCCGACACAUCGCCGGUGAUGUUCAUCGCGGCCGUGGUCAUUGCGCCCGCGGAGUCGAGCGUAAGCGAUGCUCCGUUCAAUUCGCCCGCGAGGGUCAUGGCGACAUCGGCAUCGAGGUUGAUCGCGCCGACGGCGGUGAUAACGCCGUUGGAAGUUGUGUUGACGUUGUCGGCGUGGAGCGCCACCGUGGUGCCGGCGUUGAGCGCGGCAUCGAUCGUCGCCGUGCCCGCGGCGUCGAUCGAGAUCGACGAGCCCGCAAGAAUCGACGCGCCCACCGAGGCGUUUCCACCCGCGGUGAUCGUCGUCGAUCCGCCCGAAUGCAGCGUGCCGGUGGUUGACACAUCGCCCGCGGCCGUGAGCGUGAUCGUCGUGCCGGCUUCGAUGUCGCCGGCGGUUGCGAUGUUCGCAGACGAGGUGAUCGCGACGGCGCCUUCGGCGUCAAUGUCGCCCGCGGCGCUGGUUGUGACGUUGCCGCCGGAUGCGGUGACCGUCACGCCCGCAUCAGAAUUCACCGCGGCGUUGAUCGCGACCGCGCCCGUGGCCGACGAGAUCGUCGUCGCGAGCUUCGAGUUGACCGCGGCCCCAAUCGUCACGCCUGUCUUGCCCGCGAUCGCAACUGUGCCGUUGCUCGAAGUCACCGCGCCGCCCGUGGCGGUGGAUGCAUUACUCGAGCUCACGCUCACGUUGCCCUUGCCAAGAAUCACGCCGGUGUUGC
rnacentral:misc_RNA from 1 species